UACGGAGGGUGCAAGCGUUAUCCGGAUUUACUGGGUUUAAAGGGUGCGUAGGGGGGUUGGUAAGUCCGUGGUGAAAUCCCCAAGCUUAACUUGGGAACUGCCGUGGAUACUAUCAAUCUUGAAUAUCGUGGAGGUAAGCGGAAUAUGUCAUGUAGCGGUGAAAUGCUUAGAUAUGACAUAGAACACCAAUUGCGUAGGCAGCUUACUACACGAUCAUUGACGCUGAGGCACGAAAGCGUGGGGAGCAAACAGG
rnacentral:rRNA from 1 species